UACGUAGGGCGCAAGCGUUGUCCGGAAUUAUUGGGCGUAAAGAGCUCGUAGGCGGCUCGGUAAGUCAGGUGUGAAAACUCUAGGCUCAACCUAGAGACGCCACCUGAUACUGCUGUGGCUAGAGUCCGGGUAGGGGAGCAUGGAAUUCCUGGUGUAGCGGUGAAAUGCGCAGAUAUCAGGAGGAACACCGGUGGCGAAGGCGGUUCUCUGGGCAUUACCUGACGGUGGAGGAGCGAAAGUGUGGGGUAGCGAACAGGA
rnacentral:rRNA from 1 species